CCUGCUUAUCAGCCAUUUGAUCUUCUUUUUUUUUCUUGGCAAGUUCUUGUUUUUCUUUUUUUUUCAAUUCCCUUUCCUGUCUGGCUACUUACUGUACAUUACAUUGGAACUACAAAUAAUUAUAUUAUUUUCGAAUGUUGGAUGAAUAGUAUUAUUCUUCAAAGGUGAUAAAAGUGCAAAACAUUCCAACUAUAUUAUCAGAUGCUGAAAAAUGAACCCCCGUCCAAAUGGUUUCUUAUAAAGUCAAGAAAUUCAUUGUACUUCAUCAUCCCCAAUUAUAAAUAAACAGUUAUCUGUCUGUCUGUCACAUUCUAUUAUCUAUUGGUAAAGUUUAGAAAAAAAUAUCAUGGGCAAUACUUAAAGGAGACAGUCAUAUCUUCAUGAUUUGUUUGUCCUUCUCAACAUCGAAAGGGUCAUCGUCCCAUAUUUCUGUUACGUCUGUAAAUAAUAAAAAAUAGUCAAGAAAACUGAUCUGAAACUUGGUAAAAACUUAACUGAAUAUUUUUGUGUAAGUAAAUAAAUAAAAGUUUCAAACUAGUAUCUAUUUGGCAAAACAAUUCAUUUUCUCUUGAAAUAAUUCAAAUAACCAAUAAAAAGAAAAUAGCAAAAAUAUCAACAAUAACACUCAAAAUGAGAAAAACAAAAAAAACCAAAAGACACGGACAACAAUGAGGAACGUAUAUAAGAACCUUAACUGACAAAUUUCUACCAUGUCGAUUUCUAACUCUGACUUCUUCAUCUAGUAACCCUCACAACAACCAACUUAUAGUAUAGAUUAUUAAUUACAUAGAUAUGUAAAGGUGCAAAAACUAAAAUUGAAAAAAACCCAUUUUCAUUUGUUAUAUGCAAAUCCAA
rnacentral:lncRNA from 1 species